rnacentral:rRNA from 1 species
AUGUCUAAGUGGGAACCUGUCACAUUUGAGGAAUCUCUUAGCUUUGUUAAGAGAGUUAAGGCCCGUGACUACUUGUUAUACCUGUCACUGCUCAAUGUGCUCACCCGGAGUGAUCAGAUCCCUCUGGAAGCUUACAACGAGCUUUUACUUCUUUUCCGGGAUCACGGAGACCUGCUAGAGGAGCUAGGGAAGUUCAGACCCCUCCCCUCUUUCCCAAGCACUGUGUACAGCCACAACACAAUCUGGAUGUUCAUAUUCCUUAUGCCCUUUCUGCUCCUGAGCCUUCUCCUCGCGUUUGAGAAGCCGUUGGAUAGCUUCCUUCUCCGAUAA